rnacentral:rRNA from 1 species
UAACAUAUGCUUGUCUCAAAGAUUAAGCCAUGCAUGUCUAAGUAUAAACAACUUUAUACUGUGAAACUGCGUACAGCUCAUUAAAUCAGUCAUUAUUCAUUUGAUGGUUUCUUACUACACAUGGAUACCCGUAGUAAUUCUAGAGCUAAUACAUGCAAAAAAUCCCGACUCACGAAGGGAUGUAUUUAUUAGAUAAAAAACCAAUGCACCCUCUGGGUGGUUUCUGGUGACUCAUAAUAACUGAUCGAAUCGCAUGUCCUUGCGGCGGCGAUAGUUC